rnacentral:sRNA from 1 species
AUGAAGCCUUUUACUGAUGAUAGAAUGUUCAUGGGUUCUACAAAGCAUGGGACCAGGGGAAGAGGUUCGACACCCCCACACUGCUCUAGAUUCUUAACUCUGCUGAUGCUUUUAGCCAUUGCGUCCACUAACUGGAGCGGCACGCGGUAAAGCACUCCGGGAUAGUAGAGCAGUGCUUUUGGCUGAAGCGCGGCAAAUCGGCAAGUCACAGAACGGCAAUGGACUCGGCUCACGAGUCC